rnacentral:tRNA from 1 species
UGCCCAAUAGUAUAAUGGUAGUACAUAAGAUUUUGGUUCUUAUGGCGCAAGUUCGAUUCUUGCUUGGGCAA